CAGCGACACUUUUCGUUUUCGUGUGUAUUCUUGCUCCACUUACUCCACAGAACAGAGUAAGUGGAACAAGAACACACACGGAAAUGAAAAGUGUCGAG
rnacentral:pre_miRNA from 1 species